rnacentral:misc_RNA from 1 species
GCAAAACCCCGCCUCGCAAUGACGACUAUUGGCGUAUAGAAUAUAUAAAUGGAAUGUUCAGUUUAUUUCAAAGAAUCAAGUUAAAAUGGCUCCAAUAUCGAUACAGAUUUGUUCCUUGGAUCGCUCUCAACUUGAAUCAAAGGUCAGCGAGAACUGUGGAUCAAGGUCAUAGUGACAAACUAAUUGCUGAUCAUGUGGUACUGCAUUCUAUUCUGGGUCUGUUUUCUGGAUUCCAUCAGUUUUACCAGCCUGAACAGAAGAUAUGUCUGGAGACUGCAUAUAAAGCACUGGCCAGUAGAGACCCUGCCAAGAUAGCCAGACAGAACUCUCAGGCCACAGGGGCUCUACUGGGAUUUACAGUAGAGAGGGGGCCCAGUACACUACCCCAGGGAGGGACAGGGGUGUUUGUGACUAGUGGAUGUGUCCCCAAGGGAUCAGUGGUGGCAUUCUACCCAGGUACCAUUAUGAAACAUUCAUCCUAAUUCAUUCUCUGAAGGACCGUUUUGGAGUUUACAGUACUGUUCCAUCAUGUUAAGUAGUAUACAUGCACAUGUAAAGUCCCCAACUGUUAAAUUUAUUGCACAUUUUUUGCUCAGCAUUUUCUACCAGUUUCUUUUAAUACAACAUGUAAUUUUACUUUGUUUACAUAAGAAAAUUCUCUGACAACUCUUCUGUAGUCAACACUACAUUGUUCCAGGCACUGUUUACUAUCCACAUGAGGCCAUUUUCUUCCAAAGCAUUGGGAACUCGUUUAUCUUCAGAUGCAUUGACGGUGUGUUGAUAGACGGCAAUGACAGAGGCCUCUCUAAGAUGAUUUUCAAUUCAUGUUCCCAGAGAGAUAGACAAGGCCCAUUCAAUGUCUGUGAUUCAUCAUGGCUGACCGCUUGUUUACAAAACCCACUAGCAAUAGGACAGUAUGUCAACAACCAGAGUAAAGAGUUACCUGCUAAUGUGGCUUACCAGGAAUUCAGUGUGCCUAUGGAUUUUCCUUUCCAUCUGAGACAGUUUCUGCCCAAUGUCUUCUACUCCCCACACUCGGCGGAAGAUUUAACACAAAGAGCCCUAAGGCUUGUGGUGCUGGUGUCAGUUAGAGAUAUCAGAGUGGGCGAGGAACUCUUUUCCACCUACUUCACAGUUGUCCGUUGAUUGCAUGCAAGGAUUGUCACGAGCAAAGGGAACAAUACAGACACCAGUGGAGAAGCUCUACACCACUUCACAGAAGUACAGUGCAUGUUAAAAAUCAGAACAUUAUCAAGAAAGAAAGCAGUGAUCUUCAUCAUGAUCCAACAUGUACAUGGACAUCUGUGUAUGACUAUGUGUACUGUGUUAUUAAAGGUUCACAGUUCAUCUGCAGCUGUCCGACACGACAAUCCAAUGUGUCUUCGAACACAAGACAUGCAGCUUGCAUAUGUAGUAGAACUAAAUAAUAUCUGCGUUAGAUAUCUUGACAAGAUAAUUUUGUAAAAUGUAGGAUCUUGGCAUAUCUAGUUCAUACCCAACUUUUUGUGAAACGGAAUCGGAAAUUAAUAUUGAUCCAUUAAUUCAAUGUAGACUGUUUCACAAUAAAAAUCUAUGCAC